AUGCAUGGGAGGAGAGGAUAUUUUGUUUCUGUGGCAAUAGGGGAAGGUCUUCAUAUCACCUCUGAUCUCUCUUGCAGAGUGUCUACCCUAGUUGGUUGCCAGGAGCCCUGCACCAAGUUACCCCUCCAGAUACCUCCUACUGCUGCUGACCGCCUGUUCCCAUCACCUGAAGCAAAACAAAAUAUUCAGCUGGAUGUUUGUCACAAUUCUAAUAUCCCUGCAAAGAUGAGAUGCAUGAAUCACACAGCAAUCUCAUCAAAAAGGUAAGAAAACAAGGAUAUGUUUUAUCCUGAUGAAUUUUACUAGCUUAAAUCCAAUUACUUGUAUUCUUUCAUCUUCCUUUUCAAGAAAUGAGUUCCUUUCUUUCUCCUUUCAAAUACUAGCUGGCUGCUUAAUACCCCAUAUACAGCUAGUAUUAAACUAUCUCUUUGCAAUUAGUGUUUGUGCAGAGAGCAAUUAAUUAGAUUACAGUAUUGGUCACGUUUGUAUCUCACAAGAAAUUAAAGGACCAAAAUGCUUAUGUCUAGAGAAAGAAUCACUUCAAUGACUUUGAUUAAUCUGCUAUAAAACAUCCUCAAGCCCUCCAACAGAUGUAACACUUUAUGCCCUUGCCUCCCGUUUGCAUUUUGUAGUUGGAAUUGGGAACAGACAGGCUUCAUAUGUACGUAAUUGCUUCUGAGCAGAGGGACUAGUGUAAUAAUUUGGACUGAACUCUCCAGUUUAUGGUUUCAGAACUUUCUCCAAACACAUCAAUCCGAUCACAUACCACCAUUAAAAUAUGAAGCGUAUUCAAGAAUCAGGGCACUUGCUAGCAGAUGUAUAACAUGAAUAUUUAAGAUUAAUUGAACAUUUACUAUGUGUCAAGAACUAUGCUAUGUAGUUUGCACGUAUUAUCUCACCAUAAUAAUACUAUUAGGUAGGUAUAGUUAUUAUUUCUUUUAGGUAGUUGUGGAAAUUAGGUGCACAGGGGCAAAGCAAUUUAGCUAGACUCUCAGCUAGGAAGUAGCAGAGCUGGAGUUCAAAAUCAAGCAGUCUGACUCCAGAGCACAUGUUCUUGACAAACUUUUUUUACUGACUUCCAAUAUACUACCAACCAGGCCUGCAGUACCACAUUAGCUAAUGGGGUCACAAGAGCUCAGCUCAAGGAAGCAGAGAACAUGGCCAAGGGACUCUGACUGAAACAUGCAGGUCUGUCUUCUUCCUGGGGUCAUGGGGAAGAGGGUAGCAUUGGUCUGAGGCCUUUCCAUAGAGCCCAGCAUGGCAGGUCCUUCAGUCUUGUCAGGGAUUGGGGUAUGUGUAUUUGGGGGCAAGAGGGAGGAAGUGCACAAAGAGAACUGUAGAAUUCUUGGAAAGGAACUCUCCUCACAUGACCACAGGGAGAUGGGCAAGACCCGGUGUGAGAACCAAAUGCAGCACUUGUUCAGGGCCUCUCACAUGGGGACUGAGAGGUCCUGAUGACAAGGCCUUCUUAGGUGUGCUCUUUGCUGAGGGAUGGGGCAUCUUUCUGUGCUGUUAGUCAUUUUUCCUAACUCAUUCACCUAAGGUGCAGGCAUCAUUUUUCCUUUCCAGAGGUCUUUCCUUCUGCUUCAAGCCCUCUAGUCUCAGCCCUGUCUCCCUCACUAUUGUCGGAUGUCCCCAGACUCUAACCACCAGUAUUUCAGACCCAAGGGGUCUCAGACUUGUCAUUCUCUUUAGUACCGCAGAGGAGAGAACCAGAAAUCCCGUAGAAAAUACAGAAGUAGAAGGUAUCUCAUAGAAGUGACACCUAGGAGGUCUUGCCACACAAACAGGACUGUUCGCAUAGAAGUUCUCAUUAUGUUGGAUCCAGACAUAUUUUAGGUCCAUGGUAUCUGGAGGCUACUGUAAACAGCUUCUCAGGAAGCAUAUGCAUGGGCCUAAUUGUGCACAAUUUUAAACAGCAAUAAAAGAAAUUCUCUAGGGUGGAGGGCGGGGUGCAGUGCACAAUUAUAUUCAGGAUCCAGUUGUGACAAGGCUCAGAGAAUAGAGACCCCAGUGAAUGACUCCAGGUCUAGAAUAAUUUUAGGCAUCCUUCCUCUCAAGAGCAUGAACCAAAGUCUUGUUUAGGUCUCCAUAUUCUAUUGACCAAUUUUCAUUUUAACAUUUGUUCCAGAGAUAGAUAGGAAUUGUUCCCUGGGGUCCCAUUUUGGCUCAGUGUGAUCAGUUUAUCUUGCACUCUGCUAUACUGGAGUAGGAUGUCCAUACUGUAUCCUAAAAAAAUGGUUUUCAAAUUCUUUCCCUGAGAAAAGCUACGCUGUGUUUUCCCCAAACAUUUCAUUUACUUUCUGAUACCCAGGUAUGUGAACACCGGUGGUAGUGCCGUGAAGUCAUCAUUUAUGGGCGGACUUCUUGUGCUGAUCCUUUAAUGCACAAAGGUAAUAAUAAGCUCAAAGGCACACUUUGGAAAAUGGAAAUGAAUUACGGCUUUUGCUUCUAGCCUCACUAUGAACCUCAGAGAAAAACAAAAGGAUGAAUCACUUCCCUAAGUUACUAUUUGGGAGUAAUAGGUGCACCUUCUCUCCCUAGGGCUCUCCUUUCCUCUUGUUCCCUCUCUUCUUCUUCCUCUUUUUUUCUUCUGACCUUCAAUGGUGAUUAUGAUUUUUAUAAGAUAAGUUGGCCCCACCAUUCUUAUAGUCUAUUUAUUUCUUGACUUAUUUGACUUAAAAAAUUGUUAAUAGCUUUAUUGAGAUACAAUUUUUGCAGCUUACAACUUACUCAUUUAAAGUAAAUAAUUCAAUAGUUUUCAUAUAGUUACAGAGCUGUACAAUCAUUAGCAGCUAGUACAACCAUUAGCACUAUCAAUAUUAGAACAUUUUCAUUACAACCAAAUGGAAUCCUGUAGCCAUUAGUUGUCACUUAUUUCUCCUCAUCUUUAUCCAGCCAUAAGGAAUCACUAAGCUACUUGUCUGCUUCUAUGCAUUUGCCCAGUUAACAUCUUUCAUAAAAAUUGAAUCUUACAAUAUAUGGUCUUUUGCAGCAGGCUUUUAUUUACUCAGCAUAAUAAGAUCCAUUCAAGUUUUAAGAUAUAUCCAUAUUUCAUUCAUUUUUAUGGUGUAAUAAAAUUCUCUUUUAUGGAUAGAGCACAUUUUAUUUAGUUAUUAAGCAUUUGGCAGAAAUUUGAGUUCUUUACACAUUUUUGCUACUAUGGAUAAUGCUACUAUGAAUAUCCAUGUACAAGUUUUUGUAUGGACCUACAUUUUCAUUUCUCCAGUGUAUAUACAUAGGAGUGAAAUUGCUGGGUCAUGUGAUAACUCCAUGUUUAACCUUUUGAGGAACUGUCAAACUAUUUUCCCAAUUGACUUCACCAUUUUAAAUUCCCACCAGCAAUUCAUAAGGAUUCUAAUAUCUCUGUAUUUUACCACCAAUUAUUAUUAUCUGUCUUUUUAAUUAUAGCCAAAUAUUUUCACUGAUGAUGUCUUUUCAAGUACAAAAUAUUUUAAUUUUUAUAAAGUCCAAUUUAUUUGUCACUUGUGCUUUUUUUGGUAUUAUAUCUAAGAAGAUUACUCCCAAGUUUUCCUAAAAGAGUUUCAUAAUUGUAGGUUUUACAUUUAAGUUUAUGAGUAUUUUUGUGUUUGGUGUAAGGAAGGUGUCCAAAUUCAUUCUUUUGUAUGUGGAUAGAUAUCAGGAUGUCCUAGCACCAUUUAUCAAAAAUAUAAUUGUUUCCCCAUUGAAUUGUAUUGACACCCUUGUUAAAGACCAAUUAACCGUAUGUGUAAUGGUUUAUUUCUGGAAUCCCAAUUCUGUUUCAGUGAUCUAUAUGUCUCUUCUUAUGCCUGUACCACACUACUUUUGCAGUAAGUUUUGAAACUGGAAGGAGUGAGUCCUCCAGCUUUUCUCUUAUUCAAGACUGUUUUGGCUAUUCUGAUAUCGCUGCAUUUCCACAUGAAUUUUAGGAUUUACUUAUCAAUUUCUUCCGAAGUGGAAGCUAAGAUUGUGUUGAAUCUGUAGAUCCGUUUGAAUAGAAUUGGUAUCUUAAAAUAUGAGGGGUUCCAAUCCAUAAAUACAGGCUUUCUUUCCAUUCAUUUAAAUCUUCUUUAAUAUUUUUCAAUAAGUUUUUAUAGUUUUCAG
ensembl:lncRNA